UUCCGGUUGAUCCCGCCGGAUCCGACUGCUAUCCGGGUAAGACUAAGCCAUGCAAGUCGAAUGGAAUCGCGGGAUUCCAUGGCAAACUGCUCAGUAACAAGUGAUCAACUUACCCUUUAGUGGGGCCUAACCUCGGGAAACUGAGGCUAAUUCCCCAUAGUUGAAGUGGCCUGGAAGGGUAUUUCAUCGAAAGACGCACCCCUAUGUGAGUGUGGUCGCUGAAGGAUAGGAUCGCUCUCGAUUACGGUAGUUGGUGAGGUAAUGGCUCACCAAGCCUAUGAUCGAUAAGGGCCGUGAGAGCGGGAGCCCUGAGAUGGGGACUGAGACAAUGCCCCAGGCCUUACGAGGCGCAGCAGGCGCGAAACCUUUACAAUGCACGCCAGUGUGAUAAGGUUACCCGGAGUGCCAUGAGUAAAACUUUUGGCUGUUAUAGGUGUGUAGCUAACCCUAUGAGAAAGGAGAGGGCAAGGCUGGUGCCAGCCGCCGCGGUAAAACCAGCUCUUCAAGUGGUCGGGAAUAUUAUUGGGCUUAAAGUGUCCGUAGCCGGUUUGAUAAGUUCCUGGUAAAAUCUGGUCGCUUAACGAUCAGUAGGCUAGGAAUACUAUCUUACUAGAGGGCGGGAAAGGUCUGAGGUACUCCAGGGGUAGCGGUGAAAUGCUAUAAUCCUUGGGGGACCACCAGUGGCGAAGGCGUCAGACUGGAACGCGCCUGACGGUGAGGGACGAAAGCCAGGGGAGCGAACGGGAUUAGAUACCCCGGUAGUCCUGGCCGUAAACGAUGCGUGCUAGGUGUUGGUAGGGCUAUGAGCUGUAUCAGUGCCGUAGGGAAACUGUUAAGCGCGCCGCCUGGGAAGUACGCUCGCAAGGGUGAAACUUAAAGGAAUUGGCGGGGGAGCACCACAAGGGGUGAAGCCUGCGGUUCAAUUGGAGUCAACGCCGGG
rnacentral:rRNA from 1 species